CAAUCAGCGUCUUUGUUGUUGUUUUACCCCCAGACCAGACUGAACUGUCCCAAACAAUGAGACAAUAUAUCCCUUCUUUAUGAGCUCAUGAUGCAGAAUGGAUACGGAUGGGCAACAGAAAGGCAUAAAUGACCAAGUAGGCCAUACACUCACAGAUCAACCUUUGCCCCAAUUCACCUCUGCUGAUCAAGAUGCCACUGAUUCACCUUCAUUUACCAAGCAAAGCUUUGCAGAAAACAAUGAAUUUCGACUCAGUCCCAUUCACUUCGAAGAUAAAGAAGGAGAGAUUAACGGAGAACCUCGUAUAAAUAAGGCAUGGAAGGUUGAACAACUGAAAGACAGAGCCAAAAAUGGAGAUGACACACAGAAGGCACCAGCACCAGAGGAUGAGGUGGAAGAAGAGGGGGAUUUUGAAGCGGCAUCUGAGAUAUCUUUCUUAAAAGAUACAGCUCUCACAUCCUCACCAUCACGAAGCUUUAAAAGCUCCUAUGCAAAAUCUUUGGCCGAUUCUUAUAGACGCGCAAGUUUGCCGGUUUUCAUUUCUGCACCGAAAGGACAGUUUUACUUUAAAAAUGAAGAAUUCCUUAGUUUAAAUUCCAGUCAAGUAAAACGGUCAACUCUUAAUCAAGAUAAAUUUUUGAGUCUAAAUUCAAGUGCCAAUAAGACUGUACCUCCUCCCACCCCUGAGUCAGCAUCACUUCCCACCACACUAGACAUUGUACCGGAAGCACAGGACCAACAGGCAGGGCUGGGAAAAUCUGACCUGAAUGUUGUUCCUGCGGACAUAUAUCAGCAGCUGUUAGUGAACGGGGAUAUUUUUGUCCCAUAUGAGCGACUCCAUAGUUUGUGUGAAGGUGGAAGUUUCUCUCUCCAGGACUGGCACAAGUCUGUCUCUACUAAUGAUGGCAGGAAACUCAUCAAUCUUUCAGAGCUGAGAGGAAAGUGGAAUAAGAAGCAGGAUGUAUUGUCUCUGAAUGGUCAUGGGACACAACUUGGUCCAGAUAAAGAUGCUCCGGUUGAGAGCUCGUUCAUGGAGCAUGAACAGCUUAAGGGUCGUAUUGAACAGCUAUGUGAGGUGUUAGCCGACCGAGAUACCACCAUACAGCGCCUGGAGGAGGACCUACUGCGUAUCAGAAUGGAGUGUCAACGGCUAAUAGUUGAUAACCGAAGUUUGAAAAGCAAUAUAAGUCACUCAGGAGCACAGUCUGCUGGAAGUGACUCUGCACCAGAGGUGUCUAAGUUACAGCAGCAGGUGCAGCUACUGACGGCACAGCUCAAUAAGGCUGAACGUAGUCGUCACACAUAUGAGGCUGCAACACGGCAGCUAGUGGACUUCUUACACACAGUUAAUUCUACCUUGAAUAUGACGUCUAAUCAUAGUACAACUACAAGUCCCGCUACAAGCCCCACUACCUCCUUUAACUCCAUCACAAGCCCUGCCCUGUCUCUACACACAAUCACUCCUACGUCACCAGAUGAUGAUGUUGAUGGAGAUCCACCUUAUAGGUUGGCACACCCAAAGUUUCCGUCUCCGGACUUAUUACCAAGCUCUACUUCCCACACUUUUGGACCUAUUAGAAGAAAUUCAGAUGCAGUUCGAAAAUCAGGAAGUGUGUGGGCUCUUCCCACUCAGUCAGGAAAUCCUCGUAGGGUGAGCCGUGCUCUCAGCACCCAUUGUGUGGCAUCUGCAGCAACAGGAACCAGCCAUAAUAAUUCUGUAGCCUCAGCAAGCCAUGAGAGAGGACGUACACUCACCUCUGACUUCUUGGCAUCCCGGGCCAGGGAACUUAUCGCCUCUCUCAAGUCACUAAUGAGGAGUGAUAGUGUAUUGAAGCUCAACUUGGAACCAAAGAAAUCAGUAUCUUCAGUAAAUAAUGGCAGCAGCACCACCAGAAGUACGAAGAGUGAAGGGAACUGUGCUGUCCUUCCACCCGAUACAAAUCAGUUUAAGGCAGUUGCGAGGCAAGCUGUUGCCGAGCACCAAAACAGCGGACACGGAGACGCUAGGCAUCACUACGAGAGAGACAAGGACCAACAUGUUAUGGUACCAAGUGAGAGUGAUGCUAGUCCAGAAGUAAACCAAAAUUUUAGAAGCACAGACACCACCACAGUGGUUCCAAGAAUAGAUGACAGUGCAAUCAGGGAGGAUACAUUACAGACACAGACAUCCAUGCAGAUGAACGGUAACCCACAGCCUCUAAGCUUAAUGGUGGUGGGUGAGUCGUCAUCAACUCUUGAUGAGCGUCACUUCUCUUCCCUCCCAAAUCGGAACCAUGUACCUGUACCAAGAACUCUCAACGACUCUGACCAUCGUCUCGUCUGGGUGUGACCUCGUCACUUGAAAAUGUUUACCGAGUGUCACGACAACCACUUUGGCUUACAGUAUAGGAGACCUUGCACUCAGCUUUGGUGAUGUUCUUUAGUGAAAAUGUUCUUCUUAAAGAAACCUACCCUUCUGCAGAAGCCUUCAGUUGCCAGUUGUACUAUGAACUAUAGAGGAGAGUUAUGUCAGCAGUCAAACCUAGGCAUCUACUCGCUAUCAAUGACGGGGAACACAAAAAGGUGAGUGAAUGUUUCUCGCAU
rnacentral:misc_RNA from 1 species